AUGUGAAUUGCAGAAUUCAGUGAAUCAUCGAAUCUUUGAACGCACCUUGCGCUCCUUGGUAUUCCGAGGAGCAUGCCUGUUUGAGUGUCAUU
rnacentral:rRNA from 1 species